rnacentral:SRP_RNA from 1 species
GCUGGGUGUGGUGGCUCACACCUGUAAUCCCAGCAUUUUGGGAGGCUGAGGCAGGAGAACUGUGUGAACCCUAGAGGCGGAGCUUGCAGUGAGCCAAGAUCGCGCCACUGCACUCCAACCUGGGCGACAGAGCAAGACUCUGUCUCAAAAAAAAUAAAAAGAGCUGGGUGUGGUGGCUCACACCUGUAAUCCCAGCAUUUUGGGAGGCUGAGGCAGGAGAACUGUGUGAACCCUAGAGGCGGAGCUUGCAGUNNNNNNNNNNUGCUCUGUCGCCCAGGUUGGAGUGCAGUGGCGCGAUCUUGGCUCACUGCAAGCUCCGCCUCUAGGGUUCACACAGUUCUCCUGCCUCAG